AUUGAACGCUGGCGGAAUGCUUUACACAUGCAAGUCGAGCGGCAGCGCGGCCUUCGGGCUGGCGGCGAGCGGCGAACGGGUGAGUAAUGCAUCGGAACAUGCCCAGUCGUGGGGGAUAACACUUCGAAAGAAGUGCUAAUACCGCAUACGUCCUGAGGGGGAAAGCGGGGGAUCGCAAGACCUCGCGCGAUUGGAGUGGCCGAUGUCAGAUUAGCUAGUUGGUGGGGUAAAGGCCUACCAAGGCGACGAUCUGUAGCUGGUCUGAGAGGAUGAUCAGCCACACUGGGACUGAGACACGGCCCAGACUCCUACGGGAGGCAGCAGUGGGGAAUUUUGGACAAUGGGGGCAACCCUGAUCCAGCCAUUCCGCGUGAGUGAAGAAGGCCUUCGGGUUGUAAAGCUCUUUCGGCAGGAACGAAACGGUGGGCUCUAACAUAGUCCGCUAAUGACGGUACCUGAGGAAGAAGCACCGGCUAACUACGUG
rnacentral:rRNA from 1 species